GACAGAGGGUGCAAACGUUGUUCGGAAUUACUGGGCGUAAAGCGCGUGUAGGCGGCCCACUAAGUCUGAUGUGAAAGCCCGGGGCUCACCCCCGGAAGUGCAUUGGAAACUGGUGGACUCGAGUCCCGGAGAGGAGGGUGGAAUUCCUGGUGUAGCGGUGAAAUGCGUAGAUAUCAGGAGGAACACCGGUGGCGAAGGCGGCCCUCUGGACGGUGACUGACGCUGAGACGCGAAAGCGUGGGGAGCAAACAGG
rnacentral:rRNA from 1 species